CUUGGCAUGGGUGGUACUAUA
rnacentral:miRNA from 1 species